rnacentral:rRNA from 1 species
GGGAUAUUGCACAAUGGAGGAAACUCUGAUGCAGCAACGCCGCGUGAGGGAAGACGGUUUUCGGAUUGUAAACCUCUGUCCUUAGGGAAGAUAAUGACGGUACCUAAGGAGGAAGCUCCGGCUAACUACGUGCCAGCAGCCGCGGUAAUACGUAGGGAGCAAGCGUUGUCCGGAUUUACUGGGUGUAAAGGGUGCGUAGGCGGAUUGGCAAGUCAGUAGUGAAAUCUGGAGGCUUAACCUCCAAACUGCUAUUGAAACUGUUGAUCUUGAGUGAAGUAGAGGUAGGCGGAAUUCCCGGUGUAGCGGUGAAAUGCGUAGAGAUCGGGAGGAACACCAGUGGCGAAGGCGGCCUACUGGGCUUUAACUGACGCUGAGGCACGAAAGCAUGGGUAGCAAACA